rnacentral:rRNA from 1 species
AUUGAACGCUGGCGGCAUGCUUUACUCAUGCAAGUCGAACGGUAACAGGCCGCAAGGUGCUGACGAGUGGCGAACGGGUGAGUAAUGCAUCGGAACGUGCCCAGUCGUGGGGGAUAACGCAGCGAAAGCUGUGCUAAUACCGCAUACGAUCUAUGGAUGAAAGCGGGGGACCGUAAGGCCUCGCGCGACUGGAGCGGCCGAUGUCAGAUUAGCUAGUUGGUGGGGUAAAGGCCCACCAAGGCGACGAUCUGUAGCUGGUCUGAGAGGACGACCAGCCACACUGGGACUGAGACACGGCCCAGACUCCUACGGGAGGCAGCAGUGGGGAAUUUUGGACAAUGGGCGCAAGCCUGAUCCAGCAAUGCCGCGUGCAGGAAGAAGGCCUUCGGGUUGUAAACUGCUUUUGUACGGAACGAAACGGUCUGGGUUAAUACCCUGGGCUAAUGACGGUACCGUAAGAAUAAGCACCGGCUAACUACGUGCCAGCCGCCGCGGUAA